rfam:Methanoplanus petrolearius DSM 11571, complete genome.
GUUUGCGGCCAUAGCGGUGGUGUCACACCCGGACCCGUUUCGAACCCGGAAGUUAAGACCACCCACGCAGGAUGCUGUACUGAGAUACGCGAGUUCUCGGGAACCAUCCCCCGCUGCAAUCC